GAACGAGAAAGUGGAGCAAUCCAUGAGUAAAGUGGCGACCGGGUGAGUAACACGUGACUAACCUGCCCUUGAGUGGGGGAUAACCUCGGGAAACCGGGGCUAAUACCGCAUAACAUCGCAAGAUCAAAGGAGCAAUCCGCUGAAGGAGGGGGUCGCGGCUGAUUAGUUAGUUGGUGAGGUAACGGCUCACCAAGACGAAGAUCAGUAGCCGGCCUGAGAGGGCGCACGGCCACACUGGAACUGAAACACGGUCCAGACUCCUACGGGAGGCAGCAGUGGGGAAUUUUGCGCAAUGGGGGAAACCCUGACGCAGCAACGCCGCGUGGAGGAUGAAGCCCUUUGGGGCGUAAACUCCUUUCGACUCGGACGAUAAUGACGGUACGAGUGGAAGAAGCACCGGCUAACUCUGUG
rnacentral:rRNA from 1 species